CUUUGACAGCUAGAAGGUUGGCUUAGAAGCAGCCAUCCUUUAAAGAGUGCGUAACAGCUCACUAGUCUAGAGACCUCGCGCUGAAAAUGUAACGGGGCUAAACUUAACACCGAAGAUACGGGAUCCGAUUUAUCGGAUCGGUAGAGGAGCAUCUCACUUGUAGUGAAGGUCAUGACGUAAGUCGGGCUGGAACGAGUGGGAGAGAAAAUGUUGGCAUGAGUAACCGCAUUCCCGAUGGGAUAUCGGGACACCGAAAGCCCAAGGUUUCCUUGGCAAUGUAAAUCAGCCAAGGGUUAGGCGGGCCUAACCUCUUACCAGAAGUGGUAAGGGGGAUGGACAGCCGGUUAAUAUUCCGGCCCUUGCUGCACUUUUCAAUAAAGUGACGGAGUUUAGGAAUCCUAGUGCGUUAUUGGAUUCGCAUUGAGCUUUAUCCACGGGUAAAGCAAUUAGGAUGAAUAAACUUCCAAGAAAAGCUUUAGAGAAUUAAAGUGUGGUGAACCGUACCGCAAACCGACACAGGUGGGCAGGGCGAGUAGCCCAAGGUGAACAGGUAAAACCUCGUUAAGGAACUCGGCAAAACAGUGUCCGUAAGUUCGCAAUAAGGACUGCCUCGACCUCGGUCGAGGCCGCAGCAAAAGAUCCCUGGCGACUGUUUAUCAAAAACACAGGUCCCUGCUAACUCGUAAGAGGAUGUAUAGGGGCUGACGCCUG
rnacentral:rRNA from 1 species